CAAUCCAAAGGUUGGGUGUUCAAUUCUCUAUGCGCUAGAAAGUUUGUUAUUGUAUUUUAUUAAGCUUUUCCCUUUACUUUACACUAAUCUUAACUAUUCAGAAUGAAUGCCUAAACUUAAGUUUUAGUUUCAUGUUUGCCGAGUUUGACUGAAAAGCUAAAAUAUGGCAACAGCUGGUGUAGUUAAAACAUCAAGCCAUGGUGUAAUUCUGCUACUGCAGUUACAGCACAGGUUGGCUUUUUAUUUGAGGAUUAGAUUGUUAUUGUUACAACUGUUUAUAAGGAAAAUACAGACACAUUUUAUAUGUUCAAAUCAUGUUGGAAAUCAAUGAAAGCAUAUUUUGUUGUUGUUGCAAUAUAAAACUGGGAAGAGUCCAAGGACAAUUGUAGAGGGUCAAACCAAAUCUGGUAAAUCAAACCAAAUGUAUUUAUAAAGCCCUUCUUACAUCAGCUGAUAUCACAAAGUGCUGUACAGAAACCCAGCCUAAAACCCCAAACAGCAAGCAAUGCAGGUGUAGAAGCACGGUGGCUAGGAAAAACUCCCUAGAAAGGCCAGAACCUAGGAAGAAACCUAGAGAGGAACCAGGCUAUGAGGGGUGGCUAGGAAAAACUCCCUAGAAAGGCCAGAACCUAGGAAGAAACCUAGAGAGGAACCAGGCUAUGAGGGGUGGCUAGGAAAAACUCCAUAGAAAGGCCACUUUUGAAAAAUGCACUUUUCGUAGUAAGUUUAGGAGAACGUACGUAGCAGGUUAGGAGAAAAAGGUUAUGAUAAUUAGGUUAAGGUUAGGAAAAUGGUUAAGGUUAGCUAAUACGCAAAAAAAAGUAUUAUAUACUUAGAUGUCAAUUUGACAAAAGCUGUAUCCCAUCUAGACAUAUUGCCGCUUUCCAUGUUGUCUGUAGCUUGUGAGGUGUGGAAACACUUUGUUGUUUUUAUACUAUGUUGCUCUGUCUGUAUGCUACAUCUUGCUUGUCCUAUGUUGCUCUGUCUGUAUGCUACAUCUUGCUUGUCCUAUGUUGCUCUGUCUGUAUGCUACAUCUUGCUUGUCCUAUGUUGCUCUGUCUGUAUGCUACAUCUUGCUUGUCCUAUGUUGCUCUGUCUGUAUGCUACAUCUUGCUUGUCCUAUGUUACUCUGCGUGUGCUCACUGCUCAAUGAUUGUCUGUAUUUUUGUUGUAAUUGUUUUUAAUAACCUGCCCAGGGACUGCGGUUGAAUAUUAGCCGGCUGGAUAAAACCGGCACUUUUACUGAAAUGUUUAUUAAUGGUGCACUGUCCCUGUAAAAAUAAAAUUAAAAUAAACUCCAACAUGACUGAGGAAAGUGGCA
rnacentral:lncRNA from 1 species